CUGCGGCAGGAUCAUUGUCG
rnacentral:rRNA from 1 species